UUUUGCCUGUGUCUGUGCCGAAGCCACACAAGGCAGCCCCGUGUAUGGGGGUCCACUGUGGGCUCAGCAUCGUUACAGAUGUGCUGCUUCUAACACCACAGACCGAUUCUGAGCAGAACAACCUCACAGCAAAUAAUGUACCUACAUGCAUGGAAGGAAGAGAACGAGCCAGGGAGCGGAGAAUUUUCAUCCUAAUGAAGCUCAUGGCACAGGGCUUCGCUGAUGACCCGACCAACCGUUUAAUUCGCUAUUUUCAGCGGCCUCAAACAUGUUGCCUCUCGUCUUCACCUUGCCCCCACUGGCAGUGAUGUGAAGCGCCUCGUAAUUUCCAUGGGAGCAGAGCAAGACUUUCACACAACAUUUUCGCCCAGCGGGAGCUCCUGUGCAGGGAGCCUGAUCCCAUGGGAUGUGCUCAGCUGCUGGCAGCCCGCUCCCACUUCCACUGGCAGCCCUUUCGUGGUAACUGGAUAAGGCAUAUUCCAGGCAAGUCUUCCCCUGGCAGGAGGCACUUCCGUACCUGAGAAGGUCAGGUCUUAGGACUUCAUCUCCUCUCACAAAUACCUGCUGGCUGCUCUCCAUGGUGUGCAGAAUCCAUGUGCUGGGAAUGCAUGACUACAGCCCCUGUCUGGAUGGGAGCUGGGAAGAGGAUUAGCUCUGCAUACAGUUCAGAUGUAAUCACAAGCGUAUCAAGUUGUAAAGCAUCACAACUUACACAAUUCUAAAAAUAAACAUAACCAGUUUGUUUCAA